AGUGAACGCUGGCGGUGGGCCUAACACAUGCAAGUCGAACGGAAGCACAGUAAGAGCUUGCCCUUAAGGGUGGCGAGUGGCGGACGGGUGAGGAAUACAUCGGAAACUACUUUUUCGUGGGGGAUAACGUAGGGAAACUUACGCUAAUACCGCAUACGACCUACGGGCGAAAGCAGGGGAUCUUCGGACCUUGCCCGUCUGAAUGAGCCGGUGCCGGAUUAGCUAGUUGGAGGGGUAAAGGCACACCAAGCCGACGAUCCGUAGCUGGUCUGAGAGGAUGAUCAGCCACACUGGAACUGAGACACGGUCCAGACUCCUACGGGAGGCAGCAGUGGGGAAUAUUGGACAAUGGGCGCAAGCCUGACCCAGCCAUGCCGCGUGAGUGAAGAAGGCCUUCGGGUUGUAAAGCUCUUUUGUUGGGAAAGAAAAACAGCAGAUGAAUCCCCCGCUGUUCUGACGGUACCCAAUGAAAAAGCACCGGCUAACUUCGUG
rnacentral:rRNA from 1 species